ACUGAAGAAGAUGUACUCCGUGUAGCUGCUCCAGAUCUUGUCGUCCCUGUACUGGUUGAUGAAGGCGGCGGUGCCGGUGGAGUUGCAAGCCACCAUGUGGAAGCCCGCCUCGGAGAGCCGGUCGAAGGCUUGUUCCAGAUGCUCCCUGCACAUUCUGGAAUGCAUUUCUGCAGGUACCUCCACUGCUCAACAUGGGACUCCUGGAGGCUGAACAUGGCUAAAGAACAUGUGGGGAGGCACCUCCAGACUCAAGUAGCUCUGAUGAACAUCCUGGAAGUGAAUGGGAAACAGUUAAAUGGAAGAGAACAUUAUUUACCCUUCUUCUUAGAUUUCUGCCAUCAUAUUACAUUACAAAAGGGUUCAGGACUCAGGAGCAGAUGCUGACCUGUGAGAAUGCAAGGCACAGAUUUUCUAUGCAUUUGCAAGUGUGUUGCAUAGGAUCAGAGAAUAAAAGCAAGUUUAAUCUUUCUUAAUAAUUAAUCAGCUGCAAAUCUGGUUUUUAUGUGUGCGUAAAUAUUCUAUUAUCUACUCUUUAGGCAUCAGCUUCCUAUUGAUAGUAAUAAAAAUGAUGUAAACUUAGUUGUGAUUACAUUAAUUUAGUUAUAGAAAAACAUUGUUCCAAGUCAUGUAACAGUAGUUUUCUAGGAUGUACAUGUACCCUUUUUCAUCAAUGGAUGUGCUUGUGGUUUACAGGAACAUUUGCUAAUUACAAUAUAGUAUUUAUCUAAUAUACAACAUGGACAAUUGUUUUUUCCUUAGUAUUUUCAUUAUGUUGAACAACUUAAUUCUGUGAUACACCUGUACCUCGUUGAAAUGUUCUCAUAUUGAAAAUUUCCUUCUACAGAAAAAAGAACUACAGAUGCAAAGUGGUUGUUUUCAGUGACUCAUCUAUUGCUACUGGUUUCUAAAACUCUCCAUUUGUUAUUAUCACAGUUGUAAUUCCUUAACCACAUCUUGUAUCUAUAUUGUCCUAAAAGUUCUGCUAAUUUAGAAUCUUCAUUUCUUCUGUAGAUGCAUAACUGUGUAAAUUGUGCAGCAGGCUCACAUAAAUUUCUACCUGUUGUUACCAGCACAGUAAUGGUAUAGGGGAAAAAGAAUUCAAGAUUAUACCAAAUCCUAAACAUUCAAAUGUUUCUUGCUUAUUUAAUACAGGAAAUAACAUCCUCACAAAAUCCAUUUUGUACGUGCUGCCAGAUUAUAUUUCUCUGGUUCUUGGAGGAAAGUCCACCUUUUUCGUUGCCUCUUUCAUACAGGCACAUACAUGUAUGGGAAUCUUUUAUCUUGUUCUUAACCAGAGGAAAAUUCAGGCAAAAAAAAUGCAAGGCAGUGAUUAAAAGGUGACGUUAUAGGUAAUGGUUCUUUGCUGAUUCUAAGAAAGGUUGUUACAGCAGCCAAAAGACACACGCCUGUAUAUCACAGAGCAGUGCCACAUCUAGCAAAAGCAGCUUGAUGCUGCCAGCUUCCUGGUAAAAAUCCGUUUUAAAUCACAAUAAAAGACUAAAUCCCUAGCAUAAUACUUUCUGAAAAGAAAAAUACAGCCUGCCAGUAUCCUGCCUUAGCUGGAAGGUAAGGAAGAUUUCAUUCACUGUUUAUCAGUGUUUAUGCCAUGCCCUUUCUGUACAGAUGGAAAUGUAGUGAAGCAGAAGCUAUUUGGGAAAUAGAAGCAGGCUGGCAAAGACUUACAGCAAGAUAUGAAAAUAAAAGGCUCAGUACUAUUUGUUAGAAAUGGCAAUGCAAACUAGCUCCAUAUCUGGAAUGAAGGCUUCACUUUUUCAAGUCCUCUUAGCUUGUGGGCUGUUUGUGGUUUUUUUUCCACAGCUUCUAGUCUUGAAUACUUAUUAAUAAGUGUUCUUAAACAAAUGGCUGGCUUAUAUUUAAAUUAAAUAGGAAUGGAAAGCUGGCCAAGGAGGAAAAAGUCUAAGGUGCAAAUUACUGUGUCUGAAGGUUUGUUGAACUUUUUUUAAAGACUGUUUAAUGUGCCAGUGUCAGUACUGGGUUCAAGCAUGUAUUCUUCUGGCUCCUGUAGUAAUAAAUGAGCUUGAUGUCUCCUGA